CUCUGGUCCCUACAGUGGAAGGCCCUAAGUCUGGAAUUGCUGGUGGCCACUGUGCCAUGCUGGGGAGAGGGCCUGCCUGGAGAAUAAAUGGAGGAGAGCCAGGCAGAGCCAAAUGGCAAGGGAGAGAGAACCUGAUAACCUUCCCUGGGUCCCUGGAUCCAGCUGUCACUAACACUGGUGCCAUUCUUGAACUUUCCUGUUUUUUUUUGCUUUAGUCCAUUGGAACUGGGGUUUCUGUACUUUGUAGUGGGAACCCUAUUAACAUAGAAGAAGCACGUUUGGAAGUGACCAUGAGCCUGCUGAAUGGCUGCUGCCACCGAAGGAUCUCAAAGCAGCUACUGCCUGGCCUGCAAGUGCUGGAUGGAGAGGGGUCCCGCAUGAGCUGAAUUCACCCCAGGCUGUACUGGCUUCCCAACAAGCCCUUACCCGAGUUCCCCUCGUGCCACUGUCCCGGUAUUCAGCUGUGCUCUGGCGUCCUUUGCGGCUACAGUUCCAGGGGGAAGGGAGGAUUCACAGCGUGGAGCCCGCCUCUGACUCUGCAGCAUGGAGCAGCCUGCCUGGCACACAGGGACUGAAGAGGAAAUGGGCCUCAGCUGCAGCAGGAAAGGGUCUUGCAUUAAAAAAGAGAGGGAGACGCUACUGCUCCCAAGACAGCUGUUGGAUCGGGCCCAAAAUGCAAAGAUAAAUCUUUGUGGUCAUAUAGUGUGGGCUCCACAAAAGGGGGUCAGGAGCCCCAGAGAUGGUUGACAUUGGAGCUUAUGGGGGCAGGCGAGCCCUGUGCCUUAUCCUCCAGUGCAAGGAAAUCAGGGCUGUCUGCUCCCUCCCCUUCCCCAGCUGCCUCCACCACCAGGCUAGCGAUGGGGUCCUGCAUGCAAAGGGGGAUUCCUGGAUAUGCUUGUUUGGGCAGACUUUUGGCCGAUUGAUCCCUUUUUUGGUUAUCGAGGGCUUGCGUGUGCCUCCGGGGAGCUGCAGAGGCCACAGUUGGGCUGGAUGACAGGAGAAGAAAUGGCUUCUGGCCUGUGGAGGGCUCACCUGGGCCUAAGGGGGCUGGAUUCUUCUGUACUCACGCUGCAGGGGUGCACACAUCCUGGAGGCCAGCAUGGAGCCAAGUGCCGCACACGGUCCUCAUGGCUUACUCAGCGGCUCGCUGAGCCGCACAAGAACGCUGACGCAGGUCGCUCUCCUGAUGUUCGACAGAGGCGCAGAGCAAUCCCAUGGAGCAAUCGAUACCCAUGGGCGAAAAGAUGAAUUUCAACCUGAACCUCGCAUCUUAUACAAAAUUGAUCUCAGAACGGAUCAUGAACUUAACCGUAAAACAAGAAAGCCAUAAAACUCUUAGAAGAAAAAAGGAGAAAAUCUUUGGGACCUAGGUGAAGAAUUCUUGGACUUGGAAUCAAAAGCACAAUCCAUAAAAGGAAAAAGUGACAAAUCAGAUUUCAUCAAAAUUGAAAGCUUUCGCUCUGUGAGAGACCCUGUGAAGAGCAUGAAAAGACAAGUGGCACAGAGCGAGAAAACAUUCGUGGAUGGCUUCUCCGACAAAGGGCCAUGUCUGGACAAACAAGAGCUCUCGGUGCAGAGUUUCGGCAGAAGGAUCUGGAGGGCCAUUCUGCCGGGCUCUGUGCUGUCCGGUAGAACUUUCUGCAGUGAAGCACCUCUUUUUGCUGCCCUGGGGCCUCUGCCUGAGACCCAAGGCAAGCCACCAGAGUCCCCCCACCCCCCACCCCAGGGACUUCUGAACUGGAGCUGAGAGAGAGAUCCUCUGUCCUCCUCAGUGACCCUAGUCUGGUGCGAGCCAGGCUGGGGACCCUGGCUGCAGCUGCAUGUAGCAGAGAGCCCGGCUGGGGAUCGGGGGAGGCCAGUGCCACCUGUCCACGCGUUGAUGUACCCUGCCGGCAGUGUGUGUAGUAGGGGUGAACAAAGGCUGGGCUGAGGAUGGGGUUGGGGACAUUGGUGGGUGUUGAGGAGGAACUCGGCUUGGCUUUGUCUCUGACGUUGGCUUUGUCCCUGCUCUGCAGGGAUGAGGAGCCAGGCUCUCUGCCAGUCGCACCUGACCUGUACUUAGUGCCAGACCCUGGACACCGCCUCGGGCUUCCUCAUGGCCAGGUUUAUGCUUUUUCCCAGCACCAUGAUGCUUGCUUUAAGAAAAUGUUUUCAGGAAAAAUGUACUGUUUAUAUGUGUGGUGUGAAAACCGCCUGUUUCUUGCCCUCUGGGAUUCAUGAAGGUACGUUAUCUGCUGGUGAUCAGAGCUCAGAUGGCCACUGUCAUUUCCCAUCAUGACACCGUCCGCAGCACAAACUCACUGUGGCCCUGGCUGGGGAAGCCCCGCCUCCCUGAGCCUGCCUCUGCCCACUGGGACAGUGUCGGGCCCUGUCCUUCUGUGCCCAUGAGCCUUGAGGCGUCUCCUCUCACUUAGUCACGGCCAGGCUUUCAAGCACUCCACAGCCCAGCUGCCCUCUCCAACCUCACCUUCCAGAACUUUCCAGCAUCAGUACUCUGGUUAGAAUUUCCUCUAAUAUCUCAGCGUCCCCUCACGCUUCCUCUGUCCCUCCUGCGGCAGUGUGCCCAGCUCCUCACUCACAGCCCCGGCUUUCACUUAGUUACAGGAGCCCUCACUAGGCCAACCUCCCCAAGGCUGGGGUCUCAACUCUCUCUCCUGUCUUCUGCGACAUACCCAUAGAAGGUUCUGGACACAUGCUCGGUGAACAGAUGAUCCCAUGGAGCGCUGUGCACAUGACACUGUGCAGUCAUUUUUGGCCUGAGAAGAAUCGACUCGACCAGCUGCAGAAAGAAGACAGGACGGUGCGCUCCACCAGCUGGAGAGCCCCGGGAGGUGUCUGGUUCUCUAAGGAAGCGACACACGAGCAGCGCUUGGCGUCUUUUGUGGAAAAAGCAGCAGUGGCAGAGAAAUGGACGAAAACGAUCUGUUCGGCCUUGCCAACAAACUGCAAGCCCCUGGGACUCCGUUUCCUUCUGAGCCCUUCUGUGACACAUGCCCCUGAACCCAAGUCCUGAGUCCCCGAGUCCCUGCUCCCAGAGGAGUGUUUCAGCAUGGCUCCUGCUGGACAGGAAAUGCUUGGGUUUCCUGAAAAUGCUUUUGAAAAUCCUUGACAAAAGUGCUAACUUAGAGAUCUUGAUGAGAACAUUGGGAAGCUUGGGUGGAUUGUCAAGUGAGAGAGAGAGAGAGAGAGACAGAGAGACAGAGAGAGAGAGAGAGAGAGGGCAGGAGGGCCAGAGCUCCACAGCCCUGAGAGGGGGCAAGGCCGGGCCCCACCCGCCGUCUCCCUGAGAUUAGAGGGUCCCACAGAUCAGACCUGCCCUCAUCCUGUGGUGGUGGGAAGAGAAAUAACAAGGAACAGUUGAAUAAAUAAAACUUCCCAAUCAAAAAAUGG